UACGUAGGGUGCGAGCGUUAAUCGGAAUUACUGGGCGUAAAGCGUGCGCAGGCGGUUCGUCGUGUCCGAUGUGAAAGCCCCGGGCUCAACCUGGGAAUGGCAUUGGAAACUGGCGGACUCGAGUGUGGCAGAGGGGGGUGGAAUUCCGCGUGUAGCAGUGAAAUGCGUAGAGAUGCGGAGGAACACCGAUGGCGAAGGCAGCCCCCUGGGCUAACACUGACGCUCAGGCACGAAAGCGUGGGGAGCAAACAGG
rnacentral:rRNA from 1 species